rnacentral:rRNA from 1 species
ACGAACGCUGGCGGCACGCUUAACACAUGCAAGUCGAACGAGAGAAGAGGAGCUUGCUUUUCUGAUCUAGUGGCGGACGGGUGAGUAACACGUGAGCAAUCUGCCUUUCAGAGGGGGAUACCGAUUGGAAACGAUCGUUAAUACCGCAUAACAUAAUUGAACCGCAUGAUUUGAUUAUCAAAGAUUUAUCGCUGAAAGAUGAGCUCGCGUCUGAUUAGCUAGUUGGUAAGGUAACGGCUUACCAAGGCGACGAUCAGUAGCCGGACUGAGAGGUUGAUCGGCCACAUUGGGACUGAGACACGGCCCAGACUCCUACGGGAGGCAGCAGUGGGGAAUAUUGCACAAUGGAGGAAACUCUGAUGCAGCGAUGCCGCGUGAGGGAAGAAGGUUUUAGGAUUGUAAACCUCUGUCUUCAGGGACGAAAAAAGACGGUACCUGAGGAGGAAGCUCCGGCUAACUACGUGCCAGCAGCCGCGGUAAUACGUAGGGAGCGAGCGUUGUCCGGAAUUACUGGGUGUAAAGGGAGCGUAGGCGGGAUCGCAAGUCAGAUGUGAAAACUAUGGGCUUAACCCAUAAACUGCAUUUGAAACUGUGGUUCUUGAGUGAAGUAGAGGUAAGCGGAAUUCCUAGUGUAGCGGUGAAAUGCGUAGAUAUUAGGAGGAACAUCAGUGGCGAAGGCGGCUUACUGGGCUUUAACUGACGCUGAGGCUCGAAAGCGUGGGGAGCAAACAGGAUUAGAGACCCUGGUAGUCCACGCCGUAAACGAUGAUUACUAGGUGUGGGGGGACUGACCCCUUCCGUGCCGCAGCAAACGCAAUAAGUAAUCCACCUGGGGAGUACGACCGCAAGGUUGAAACUCAAAGGAAUUGACGGGGGCCCGCACAAGCAGUGGAGUAUGUGGAUUAAUUCGAAGCAACGCGAAGAACCUUACCAGGUCUUGACAUCGUAUGCAUAGCUCAGAGAUGAGUGAAAUCUCUUCGGAGACAUAUAGACAGGUGGUGCAUGGUUGUCGUCAGCUCGUGUCGUGAGAUGUUGGGUUAAGUCCCGCAACGAGCGCAACCCUUACUGUUAGUUGCUACGCAAGAGCACUCUAGCAGGACUGCCGUUGACAAAACGGAGGAAGGUGGGGAUGACGUCAAAUCAUCAUGCCCCUUAUGACCUGGGCCUCACACGUACUACAAUGGCUGUCAACAGAGGGAAGCAAAGCCGCGAGGUGGAGCAAACCCCUAAAAGCAGUCUUAGUUCGGAUUGUAGGCUGCAACCCGCCUACAUGAAGUCGGAAUUGCUAGUAAUCGCAGAUCAGCAUGCUGCGGUGAAUACGUUCCCGGGCCUUGUACACACCGCCCGUCACGCCAUGGGAGUCGGUAACACCCGAAGCCUGUAGUCUAACCGCAAGGAGGACGCAGUCGAAGGUGGGAUUGAUGACUGGGGUG